rnacentral:lncRNA from 1 species
UACUUUAUUAAUUCUUGUAUCAGUUGAUUAUUUGUACAGUACAACUAAUAAUAAUUAUUUUAAAAAUUAUAUCAUUACCAAAAUUACUGGUAUAAGAUUUCUUACAAUGUAACAACUAGCAAGAGAUAACCAAUCUCAAAAGAGAUUAUAAAAUUAAAAAAAAAAGGAUAAGGAAGUAAUUUCGGAUAAAAUUAAAGCGUAUAAAUUUUUUUUUGUUAAUAGAAUUUGCAUCAUUAUCAAAUUAUACAAGGGUGUUAUUGGUUCCUAGAAAAAUAAGAGGAUGAAAAGGUUCUCUCAAUGUGGGAAGUGGAAAAUCUAGUCACCUAAUGAUAGAGUAGUACACGUGCCCAGGGAAGAGUGGUGGACCAGUCUUAAUUGGACUGUCGUAUCAUCUCAUAUACAUAUGUGAUUAAAGAAUGGUCCCAGUUUGCUUUCUGCUCUGUGAUUCAUGCAUCCACAAGAUUUUGUUACCGCAGUACAAGCGAACCGUGCGAUUUGUGCUGAUUUUGAUGAACGUUAUCACGCCUUUUUUCUUUGCCCACCUAAAAGAUGAGAAAAUAACAGGAAAAAGGCAUAAAAAAAGUUUUAAUUUUAUCAAAGGGGAAAAUCUUUAAAACGUUUUUGAGAUAGAAAAUUGUAGAGCGCCUCUCAAAUAUCCUCUGAAAAUCCACUUUUCAGAUAUAUUUCAUUUAAUUUCAAAAAUAUCCUUUUAAUUAACAUUCCUAAUAUCAUUUCAAAUCUUUUUAAGUGGGGUUUUCACCCUUAAAAUUCAUGCUCUCCUAUUUAUUUCUUUUGCAGCAUUCAACAAAAAGUUCUUUUAUUUAUAUCUUGAUAAUUAUGGUUUGAAAAUAGUUUCCAGUAUAGAAAUAGGGAUCUAGCUACGUCCAGAGAAAUAGUUAAUCUACAAUCAAAAGAAAAUAAAUUUGAGAAAAAAAUUAUUUUAGAUUUAGGCAAAUAAAUUAGAUACUUGAGAGGUCAUGUCUCAACCCACAAAAAAAAAAGGGGGAAAAAAAAAGCGAGAGAAAGAUGGACGAUGAAUCAGUUGGCAAAAAGUUUUGUAUAACAAGUUUCUCUGGCUUUAAAGAGUUAGAAAAAUAAAAUAAAAUAUUCAUUUGUUUAAUUGAAUUUAGGUUUGUCUUUAAAUGUAAUUUCAAUAAACGAGGGGUUUUAUUAUAAUAUCGAAUGGGUGCUAAUAGCUCCACUCAAUUG